UGGAAAGAGGCAGACUAGCCAUCUGGAAAUUCAUCUAAGAUGUUCCAUCUGUGUCUUAAGAGAAUGAUGACAUUCCAUAAACAGAAUCAGUAGGAAUGAGUAAGACAUGUGGAUCCUGUCAUCAAUUGGUCCCAAGGAAGAAGCAUGUUGCCCCUGGGGCUUUCAGAUACAUGAGAUUUUCUCUGGUAUGAAGGAUAGUCUCUCCAUGCUCACUUGGAGGCCUCAGAUUCCAGAGAACAGAGCUACAAGACAGAAGAGGGUGGCCUGGUCUGCUUCAGACAUGUGAUGUGAAUGAGAAAGAAUCUUCUAAUGUCAGCGUCACAAAAGACAAAGCCUGUGGCAAUAUUUCAGAUUAAAAGAGGCAACUAAUUGCAGUAUUCACCCCUAGAAUGGAUCAUAUACGAGAAGGGGGAUAAUGCUACAAGAAACAUACUAAGAUCAACUGAUGAAAUUAAAAUAUGAAUAUGAGAGGAGAUUUUAAGAAGUAUUAGUGUUAUCUGUAAAGAUGACAAUUGUAACUAUAGUUACAUAGGAGACCUCUCUAUUCUUAGGGCAUAUACACCUAAGUAUUUAGGGACAAAGAACCACAUGUUAUGUAAGUUAAAUGCAAAUGGGGUAAAAUGUUAACAAUGAGUAAAUCUGGAUAAAAGAUAUUUGGAUGUUCCUUGUACUAUUUUUAGUUUUGCAACUUUUUGUAAGCUUGAAAUAAUUUCCAAAUUGUUAAAAAAUAAAAUGUU
rnacentral:lncRNA from 1 species